AGAGAAAAAUGAGCAAAGCAGACGUAGCUCUCUGAAUCCUCACAAAGUGACUGUGCUGGUAAGCGCCAGGCAAGGCCAAGGAACCCUUCUGUUUUUGCUGAUACUGUUUCUAGUUUGGGUCUUUGAGACAUUGUAUCCUUCUGAGCGUUCUGGCAUAUUCCAUGUGCACUUUGUAUUUGCAUGUGUAUGUUCGUCCUCUAUAGAAUUAAGGGUCCCAUUUUAUGGCCUUGAGGUUAGACGCAAUUUUAUCUUAAAUAAUUGGUGCCAAACUGGGUUUCCAAAGACAAGUAAUGUUUCCACACCAGAUACCCAGUUAACGAUUCUCAUCUUAGAAUAAUUCAGCGGAUUCUCUCACCUCUGGCUUCUUUCACUUAACUUUACACUUACAAAUGUGUGGUGGUUUGAAUAAAAAUGGCCCCAUAGGUCCAUAGGGAGUGGUACUAUUGGGAGGCGUGGCCUUGUUGGAGUGGGUGUGGCCUUAUUGGAGGAAGGGCGUCAUUGGAGGUGGGCUUUGAGGCUAUCAGCUUCUUCUCCAGCACCAAGUCUGCCUGAAUUCCACCAUGCUCCCGACCACGAGGAUAAUGGACUAAGCUUCUGAACGGUAAGCCAGCCCCAAUGAAACGUUUUCCUUUAUAAGAGUUGCUGUAGCUAUGUCUCUUUACAAUAAUAAUAACCCAAUGAAGACAAAAUGGUAUUCAUGUUGGGUCUGGAGAGAUGUCUCUCUAGCUAAGAACACUUGCUGCUGCUGCUUCUCUUCGGUUUGGUCCCCCGCACCAGCAUGGAACGAACAUGGCAGCUCACUGUUGCCUCGGAUCCUAGGGAUUCUGGCCCCCUCUGGUCUUCAUGGGCACCAGGCAAGCAUCUGGCGCGAUACAAACAGCAGGUGUGCAUUCACAUGCAUACAAUGAAAGUAAGUAAAUCUGUAAAAAUCUAUUUUUAGAAGUUGUCCUUGUUGCACUUAUAGCCUUAGAAGGAUCCAUUUUAUGACCAUUCCUCAGUUUUCACACCCGUUCUGUUUUUGCUGAUACUGUUUCUAGUUUGGGUCUUUGAGACAAUGUAUCCUUCUGAGUGUUUUUGCAUAUUCCAUGUGCACAUGUCUGAGUAUGCUCAUCCUCUAUAGAAUUAAGGAUCCAAUAUUAUGGCCAUGAGGUUAGAUGCAAUUUUACCUUAAAUAAUUGGUGCCAAACUGGGUUUCCAAAGACAUUGUAUCGGUUUGCAUUCUCAUCAGCUAUGGAAGACAGUUCAUGCACAUCUUGGCCUGAAUGUCCCGUUUACUCCAUCACUGUGGCUCUCUCAGAGGGCAGGCAAUGGUGGACGCUGUGGGUUUCCUUUACAUUUUUUUCAGGUGAUGAAUGACACUGAGAAUUUUUUUUUAAAGUUUUAUUUUUAACAAUAUCAUACUUGUAUUCAAUGUAUUGUGAUUGUGUUCUCCCUGCAUUACCAGCUUUUAUUCCCCCUUUCCCACUAACCUCUUUCUUUUUCCUAAGAGUACCCCCUCCUCCUUUCACGUCAGUCUGUGUGUCUAGGUUGCAUGCAGGUGUUCACAGCUGCUGUGUGUUUGUGACUCUAAUGGCCACGUGGUGGUGUCAAGCAGGUAGCAUUUUAUAGCAUUCUUUUUUUUGUUGUUGUUGUUCUUUUUUUUCGGAGCUGGGGACCGAACCCAGGGCCUUGCGCUUCCUAGGUAAGCGCUCUACCACUGAGCUAAAUCCCCAGCCCCAGCAUUCUUUUUUUUUAAUUUUUUUUUUUUUGGUAGGGUAACAACAGACAGAUAGUGACAUGCAAGGAGUGUAAUUUAUUAUUGCAAGACAUUGAAACCUUCACAUUGGGCAGGGAAUGUCAGUUCAUCCAUCAGAAUAACUGGAAAAUAGGUAAAAACAUUUCUGGCCACUCUUGCAAAUCACAGUGCAAUGAAACAUUUGUCAGUGUUUCUGAUAUUCCAUAUCUGUCUCCAUAGCUCAUCUGGUCUACACAUCUCUUUACUUCCAGUUUUGCUUCAAAAAGCCUCUAGAGGCAUCUCAGAUCUCUUAAGUUCUUUCCACAGUUCCCGUCUCAAUAAAUUCCCAUUGCUGGAUAUUGCCAUGCACGCCCCGAACUACCAAAUUCCUGUGGCUGGCUGGGAUGUACCCUUGCACACCAUGCUCUGGAACCGAGUUGAGUCACCUCAUGAAGGAAACCACCACAUAGUCUUAGUUUAGAACCAACCGGUAACAUAAUCACUGGGCGCAGAUCUAGCAUCCUAACUUUACAAACUAUUCUAUGUUAGAAAACCUCCAAUGGCGGCAGGAUCCACCACUUGAAACAGCAGCCUCUGGCUUCCUAUAUUCUGUCUCAUAGCAUUCUUUUCUAACCUUUGGCUCACACAGUCUUUCCAUCCCCCUUUCUGCCAUGUUCCCCGUGUCUAGCGUGUGUCACACAGAUGUCAUGUUGAGGGCUGUGAGUCUCUGCUUUGGCUCAUUGACAGAAGAGGUUUCUCUGACUGGGGCUGACAAUUGCAUUAGGUCAGGGAUACAAUGGCAAGUAUUUAAAAAAGUAAUUUAACUUUGUAUCCAUUUUAUGAAACAUCAACAGUACAUUGCUCCCGUGGGAACUGCACCCUCUCUAACUAUAGGAUUUUGACCAGAAUUACGUUAUCAAGCAUGUGGAACAGUGUGGGAUGAUGUCACAGGUGAGGCAGGUACAGGAUAGAAGGAGGCCUGUCAUUGGACGAGAAGGAAGGAUGGGUGGGAGAAAAGUGUGAAGGAAGAGGAGGAGACGGGAAUGGAAAGGAGGAAGAGACAGGAGGGAGAGAAAGAGAAGCCGUGGCAGGACAAUAUGGCAGGUGACGUUAAGAUUCCACUCUGUAUAUUUACAGGUUGUUAUUAAUGUUCUUAAGGGGUGGCUGGUACUGGGCUUUGUAUGUUUAGGUGGGCAAUUAUAUCUCAUCAAUUGGGUGUAAGGUUAUCGUGUUGUGUGUUCUUUCAUGUAUAGAUUUAAGUGUAAGGGAGUGUGGGGCAGCUGGUCUGGGCUGCCAUGGAAUUGGAAUGUGUGCUUCUGGCAAGAUAUCCAGCAAAUAUCUUGGGGCACCUUGAUGCCGUAUCAAGUGGGGAUAAAAGACAAAUACUUUUUUUAUUUUUUAUAUUUUUACAUCAAUAGAUGGCGAACCAACGUGAUGGGCAAGGAUUCACUAAUUAUCCUAAGAAUUGAGAGAAAGUUUUUAUUUUCUAAGUAAGAGGAGGCCAGCACCAUGUUAAGUCAUGUAAUAACUCAAGGGCGGGAAUUUAACAAAGAAACAGGAAAGUAGCUUGGACUGGCAGGCUGUAGGUCUGCCAGUGAUAAGUAAUGGCAGCUCAGAGAGUCAGAGAUUAAAAGCUGCUUUUUAAAGAAGGUUGUUUAGAAAGUCUUUCAGGAUACUCAUAUUCCUUCUAAUGCAGGCUCCACGGGAAUUUUGGGUUGAAAUCCUAGUUAGACAAGGUACUUCUUAAUGACAGGUAUUAUUAAAAGGUGACUAAGUUUGUUUUAGAAAGAUGAGAGUAAAGAGAUUACUUGAAUCAUGUGGGGAUUUUCAUCCACAGCUCAAAACUUAGAUAGGGAAAAAUUAGUCACUGACUCCGAGUAGAGAGUUGUGAUGAAUGUCUGUAACACCAGAGUUAAUUUAGGCAUAUAUCAUAGAAGUUGUUAAGCUUAAAUAAAAAUCUGUGGCUCCAGGUAGAGAACUUAACAGAUUGAUAUAUUUUGGGCUAAAGUCCUGGUUUGGUAUGUUGCUUAUUGAUAUUGGAAUUGAUGGAAGGUAUUUGGUUUGUUUUAUGAAUUACCCCGCUAAAGGCCAUAUGGCUCGUUAAUGCCAACUAGAGAGGGUUUGUGGUUAUUUUUGAUAUUUACCACAACAAGAAGCUCAGAUUCUCUUAACGUGGACUCCAUGGGAAUUUUGGGUUCAUUUCCUGAUAUCACAGAGUACAAAAGCCUAUCAGGCUCAUUGUUUAGCUUACUUCCUUUUUUAAAAAUUGCUUAAUCUUCAUAAUGGGUGUGACUGAGUUUUAUGGUUACAUUAUUACUCUGGGAAAGAGUGCAAAAUACAAGCUUUUCUGGUUAUAGACUAAGGAACACAGUAUUUUGGGCAAAAGAUUUUGUCUUUGUGUUUUAAAAAAGUGUGAUUAGGCUCUGGAAACCUCACAGAGUCAUACUGAUCAGAUUUGAUAGAGGUAGAUCGCCUGAAAAAAUUGAUUCAGAAGAAUCAAAGAAAAAGAUAUCUUGAUUCUAAACUUUUGUCUUGAGAGUUGUAUUUUGCAGAGUGUGCCUACUUGGAUUCCUGGUCUCAAGGACUUUCAGCUGAGUCCAGUCAGGACACAUCCGGCUACAGCAUUUGCUUCAUUCUUCCUACCCCCUACCCCUAAGGAUUUCUCAACACCCAUGUACAGCUUGAAGAAGUUAUGGAGGAGUUGUUGCCCCAAUUCCCUGGACUUUUGGGGGGCUGAAAGUGGUUAUUCUAAAGUUGUUUCUAUGAGGAAUUUAGAAAUGGUUGUAACUUAACAGGUAGGAAUUAGCUAGAUUGAGUUGUACAGUCACAAUCUCAUUUGGUAACAAAGAUAAAAUCAUACCUUUGCUUUGAUAUAGAAUUUAUUUGACAAAGUUUAAAAGUACAAGGUUUAGAGUCAGUCCUUCUAUUGAUGUCAUUACAAACUUCUGAGUUGAUUACACAUGUGAGUUAAGGGCCAAAUAGCAAAUUCAUGGCUCUGACUUUGUGAGAGAACUUUCAAGAUAUUCUUAAGAUAUAAAGACAACAGUCCAGAUUGUCUUAUAUAGAUGGUUUUCAAAAACGUCAGAAAUCCACAAAAUUUGAGAUUUAAAGUUAUUUACCUUUUGUUGAGACAUAUCUGCUCCUAACAGUUCCCCUUUGGUGGAUUUAAUGAAGAUUGAACAUCUUUACCUCCAGGUGAGGCAAUACUUUGUGGCUAGGCAGCCACUGGACAAAACUGCCUGUUUCAUCUGCAGACUAAUACUGUCUAGAAAAGGACAAAUUAGGCAUAAUAGUUGACUGAUAAGUUCUGUCAAGACAGGGUGAUCAGCCCUUCAAAAUCUGCAUUUCAAGAGUCUGUCAGUUGAUUUUGGGCCAGAAGACUGAAGACUUGUGUUUACAUGUUGCUAACAGGGGACUGUGCUAGUGGAGAUUUGUCUCUACAACUUCUCCGUUCUGGAAGCCAUGUUGGGCUUCCUAUGUGUAUAGAUAUUUGGUCAUUCUCAGAUUUCUGAUGGGGUGAAGACUGAUUGAUUUUAGUCUCAUAGCCUAUCAGGCUGUUUAACUCUGAAAAUACAUAUUUUAUUGGAUAGUUAUCAGAUAGUAUACCAGCUAGCCAAGAUAUAAUAUAGAUUUUAAGCCUUUCUUAAGCUGGAAUGGAUAACUAAAUGUUCUGUUUAACUGAUAGAGUGUUGGACUGGGUGUUAGGUAUAUUUUAUGCUUGUAAUAACAAAAUGAUAAUAGUUGUGCUCAGCUUAUAUUUGAGAGAAAAAAAAAUUUUUAAAUUAGACAAAAAGGGUGAAAUGUGGGAUGAUGUCACAGGUGAGGCAGGUACAAGAUAGAAUGAGGCCUGUCAUUGGACGAGAAGGAAGGAUGGGUGGGAGAAAAGUGUGAAGGAAGAGGAGGAGACAGGAGGGAGAGAAAGAAGCCGUGGCAGGACAGUAUGGCAGGUGACGUUAAGAUUCCGCUCUGUGUAUUUACAGGUUGUUAUUAAUGUUCUUAAGGGAUGGAUGGUACUGGGCUUUGUAUAUUUAGGUGGGCAAUUAUAUCUUAUCAAUUGGAUCUAAGGUUAUUGUGUUGUGUGUUCUUUCACGUGUAGAUUUAAGUGUAAUGGAGUGUGGGGCGGGUAGUCUGGGCUGCCACAGAAUUGGAAUGUGUGCCUCUGGCAAGAUAUCCAGCAGAUAUCUUUAGGGCACUGCGGUGCGGGAUCUAGUGGGGAUACAAGACAAAUACUUUUUUUAUUUUUUAUAUUUUUACAACAACAGAACAGAGCUCAAGUUCAGAUUAGAAUUGGCUGGUUACCCCUGGAACCAAAAUGUCCCCUACUGCAGCAAUGAGUGUACCUUACACGGCAGAAUAGUAUUGGAGCACAGAGGGACCACAGCUGAGCGAUCGAUGUUUUCUUAUCCCCAUCAACAACCUACAUAGAACCUCCUGGCACUCCAAACACCAGCCAAAGGGGAGGAAGCCUCCAGUACAGUUCCUUCUUGGUUUCACAGAGAAACACAUUCAUCCAAAAUGCUGCGUCUGCUAUGCCAUCUACGCCAUCCGACCACCACCACCACCACCACCACCACCACCGCUACCACCUCCUGGCUGCUGUGGGACUCAGGGCGUCCACCACUCCAGCAGGCCUCCCCUUCUCCAUGAUGCCCUGCUUAGAGCUGCCUGCCAAGGAGAGCGCCCUCUUCAAGCAUGUGCUGCUACAGGAAACCCACUCAAACCUACCUCUCAUGGACCAGAUAGACUCCACCCAGCUCCAGAGAAGCGACCUCCAGAUGUUCAAGCUCCUAUCACAGACACAGACGCUUCUGUUAGACCUGUUCCUUCUGACGUAUUCUCAGAUGGUUCCACAGACCCUGGACAACAAGGCAACAGCCAACUCCUAAGACUGGACAAACGUCCCAUACCCAUUUUUCCAGGUUCCCUACAGACACAUCGCCCCCAAAGCAAGCAGGAAGCAGUCAGAGAUCACGACUAGACGAACCUAUUCCUGCUCCACCAUCGCCUUUCUAAUUUUUCUUUUUAAUUAAACCAAAAAAACGGGGGAAUGUUGUUGGUAAUCUGUCUA